rnacentral:lncRNA from 1 species
GGGCCAGUCAAACCAUUAAGCACAUAGUUCCGACAGAUAUAGUCGGAGUGCUUCCAUGCAUCAACAGCAAACACCGCCUGCGUAUCGCUCUCAGCAGUGAGCAUAGGUGUCUCUUCUCUUAGAUAGCGAGACAAAUUCAGCGUGGUCAGGUAGAACAACAUCUUCUGCUGCCACUGUUUGAAGUUCGUUCCGUUGAACUUUUCCGGCCUUUCAGCGUGAGCAGUAGGCACAUGAGGCAUAGCUGGCGCAAAGGGCGCAACUGGCGCAACAGGCGCAGUAUGCACAGCAGUCACAACCGGCGGAGUAACAUGUCCUGCCGGAUUGAGUGGAACACUGAACUGACCAAAGGUCAUCUGUCCCGCAGAACCAUAGCCCAGAGGCGUAGGCCCAGAACCAUAGCCCGCAGGCGUAGGCCCAGAACCGUAGCCCGCAGGCGUAGGCCCAGAAACAGGUGGCACACCCUCAUCUGGAUUAACCAGUGCGUUGGGGUUAGCCUGCAACUGCUGUGUCUGAUCCCCAUCUGGAUUAACCAGUGCGUUGGGAUCAACAGCCGUACCGCUCGUGGGAAUUGCUCCAUUAAUAUUCUCCAUUAAGUCUGUUUUUCCAACACGCAAACAAACCAAGUCAAUCACAGAUGUAGAACAGAUGUAGAAUACGCUUUAAGAUUGUUAGACAAUCUGUGCAAAAAACCAAUAUAUGUGUUUGUGUGUGCGAUUCAUCUCCUUUCGCUUAUGCUUAAGGUAGUUCUGGAAAUCUUUCCAAUGAAGGAGACAGAUUAAACAGAAGGAUAUGAAGAAAAUCCGAGUCCAGUGCGAAACUGUCUCCUUAAAGCGUAUUCGCCUCCUCACCGUAUGUGCGGAACAAAAGCUUCCCAGGAUAAAACGGAUUGCGAUGUCGUUAACAAGAACGGAUUCUUGCACCUGACUGUCAACAGUCUUAGAAUCCACCAUCUUGUAGUCAAGAAAGCGUCCAACAAUCCACUUCUUGAGGUAUUGAGAGAGAGAGGAUCCCAUAAGUCCUUAGAUGUUACCUUCGAACUGUAUACAUCAUACAGCGGGCCAGUCAAACCAUUAAGCACAUAGUUCCGACAGAUAUAGUCGGAGUGCUUCCAUGCAUCAACAGCAAACACCGCCUGCGUAUCGCUCUCAGCAGUGAGCAUAGGUGUCUCUUCCCUUAGAUAGCGAGAUAAAUUCAGCGUGGUCAGGUAGAACAACAUCUUCUGCUGCCACUGUUUGAAGUUCGUUCCGUUGAACUUUUCCGGCCUUUCAGCGUGAGCAGUAGGCACAUGAGGCAUAGCUGGCGCAAAGGGCGCAACUGGCGCAACAGGCGCUGUAUGCACAGCAGUCACAAUCGGCGGAGUAACAUGUCCUGCCGGAUUGAGUGGAACACUGAACUGACCAAAGGUCAUCUGUCCCGCAGAACCAUAGCCCAGAGGCGUAGGCCCAGAACCAUAGCCCGGAGGCGUAGGCCCAAAACCAUAGCCCGCAGGCGUAGGCCCAGAACCGUAGCCCGCAGGCGUAGGCCCAGAAACAGGUGGCACACCCUCAUCUGGAUUAACCAGUGCGUUGGGGUUAGCCUGCAACUGCUGUGUCUGAUCCCCAUCUGGAUUAACCAGUGCGUUGGGAUCAACAGCCGUACCGCUCGUGGGA